rnacentral:rRNA from 1 species
UACGUAGGGUGCGAGCGUUGUCCGGAAUUAUUGGGCGUAAAGAGCUCGUAGGCGGUGUGUCACGUCGGCCGUGAAAACCUGCAGCUUAACUGUGGGCGUGCGGUCGAUACGGGCAUCACUGGAGUUCGGCAGGGGAGACUGGAAUUCCUGGUGUAGCGGUGAAAUGCGCAGAUAUCAGGAGGAACACCGGUGGCGAAGGCGGCGAUCUGGGUCGAUACUGACGCUGGAGGUGACGAAAGCGUGGGGAGCAAACAGG